AAGGUUCUUACAUUCAUUUAGAGCAGUGUUGACUUUAAUGAGAUUCCUCAGCUGUACCUGCUUUUACCACGUCAUUUCAACUGCAGGACGAGGCUUCCCAUGCAAAAUGUCUUCAGUAAACACGAUUCAGACGGUGUUCUGUUUGGCCAAAGCAGAGCUGUGGGGAGAGUCUUCAUUCCCCCACGUAGCAUCUUCCACCAGCAAGAAAAGCUGAGACUCCUUGGAAUUCAAAAUGUUGAGAAGUGGACAUGAUGCAGAAUGUUCUGUUUUCGUUUCCCAAGUGAUAGAUCCCAGCACCACUGAUGGGUUUCAGCUAUGAGGGUCUCAUCUCUGUGCCCGAAAGACGAGGCUUUGCCAAUGGCGAGAAGUGACACACCGUGUGAUAACCAAAUCGUGACACGAUGGACUGGAAAUUUCAGAUUAAUAAGCCUCUUUCGGAAGGGAACUAAAUAACUUUUGCAGUCUUAUCUAUGGCUAUUUGUUUCUCCGAAGAUUUAUGGUCCUCGCAACAGAUCUGCAUCUUAUCUUUCGCUCCUCAGAUUAAAGGAAGAUGGUGUGAAGCAGGUGUCUGACUGGCAUCAUCUGGAAUUGCAGAUGAUCUUCCUUUAAAAAAACCACACUGCAAGUGAACUUGCAAGUCAAAUGAGAAUAUCAUUGCAUGUGUCAGGGUCUGGGAGAGAAACCUGCAUCCAGCUAAACAGGGCCGUCCCUCUCCUUGUGACCCGUGUCCUCGGGCAGCCCUUUGCCAGCCAGGUGCGAUCCGUAAUGCUUAACGGGGAAUUAAAACUUCUCGUGCUGCUGCUGCUUUAAUUGAUUGAUGCUAAAAGUUUAGAAACUAAAAUCUAAGCAGCUCUUACAAAGCUCCUUUAACCAAGCCUUCCCCUUUGAAAGCCGGAUCCUCAAUUGAAACUGGCAGCCCACAUUUUUAGGUUUCAAGCAGCUCUGUCAUUCUACGAGGAAUGUGUCUGCCACUUCACACGAUAGCUUGAGCUGAAAGACAUGUACUUUGAAUCAGAGAAUCAAUAGAACACUUAAUGGACAAUUAGGAGAACAGCUGUAGGACUGUCAAAGGCCCAUCUGUACACAGCUCCGGCAGCCUCGCCUGGACAGGGCACUGCACACAGCUUUCUGCCCCGGGGCACCGGCUCCCAUUACAAAAUCCCCCUUUCAUUUCACAUUUAAUGUUAAUAUAGUGUGCUUUUUUUCAUUACAAAUUUUAACACGUGUAGAAAAUUAUGGAGAUUGCUCGGGCCAUUUGUCAACUCACAUCAUGCGAAUUGAUCAAUAAAUUUCACCACUUUGUUGUUAAUGUGGAUAAAUUUUGGCAUUUAAUUAAGCUACAGCGAAAACGUGGCCACUUUUAAUUUCAGCAGAUGCUACCUUUUCAUCUGUAAUCCGGGGCUGCAUCGGCAGUGCAAUCCAGUCGCUAAAUAUUUAUAGACAACAUGACAAUUCCUGAAAGAGUUAUCAUCGGCGGUUUUGGUUCUGCAACAAUUAGCGUUGUUUGGAGGAGCUCAUGUGGAAAGCCAAAAAAAAUCCCGAGCAGCGGAUGAAGUUAUGACUCUACAGAUGCAUCGCAUGUAUAUAAAGUGCAUAAAUCUACGCUCUGCAAAAAGAGAUUAUUACAGGAAUACCAUCCGCGGCGCACACACGCACACGAGCCCGUGUAAAUUCUGGCAAGCAGGCACUGAUCCCUGCAUAUGUAAACUCUCACAUAUCAGACAUCUGAACGGAUAUCGCUGCGAAUCAGACCUGCAAACCAAUAUUUACCCUUAAUGGAGCUGCUUUGCAAAAAUGCAAUGGCAGGGAUUGAUCUCGG
rnacentral:lncRNA from 1 species